AGGCUCGAAAUUAGUAUGGUAGGAUUGGCGUGGUGGCGAGUGGCAUUUUUGUCAUGUCUUGGAUGUGCUGCGACAUUACGGCUUUGUGAGGGGCCGGACCAUGAAAUAAUCCUUCUUGCGGAGGAACAGCAGGGGCUCCUGCAUGCUCACUCCAUUGGCUUCGGCCGCUCGGGUACAAAACCCAUCCCAUAAGGGUGGUCCGUGGGUCCUGCAGCGAUUUGGCCCAAUAUUUUUCGCUGUGGGGCGUAUUGCAUGCAUGCCCGCCUUUACGCUACAUACACGGAUAUAGAAAUAUCUGCCUCGUGCUAAUUUAUUCACGUAUGCGGUGAUUAAAGUUGUGAUCGGUAAUGGGGCUGUUCCAGGGUCGAAAGGACUAUCCUAGCAUGUAAGUUGGGUUGCGGACGGACUGUGUAAUGUGACGGUACCUGAAAGGGUUCUUGGAAACGCCGUGUAGGUUGAUAUAGAGAUGCGGUCAAUCAUACAAAAAUUUAGCAUUCACAAUAGAAUAAUCUUGAGUUACCAGG
rnacentral:sRNA from 1 species